rnacentral:rRNA from 1 species
UGAACGCUAGCUACAGGCUUAACACAUGCAAGUCGAGGGGCAGCGGUAUCGAAAGCUUGCUUUCGGUAGCCGGCGACCGGCGCACGGGUGAGUAACGCGUAUCGAACCUGCCUCAUACUCGGGAAUAGCCUUGCGAAAGUAAGAUUAAUGCCCGGUGUUUUCAGAGUCCCGCAUGAGGCUUUGAACAAAGAUUUAUCGGUAUGAGAUGGCGAUGCGUCCCAUUAGCUUGUUGGCGGGGUAACGGCCCACCAAGGCAUCGAUGGGUAGGGGUUCUGAGAGGAAGGUCCCCCACAUUGGAACUGAGACACGGUCCAAACUCCUACGGGAGGCAGCAGUGAGGAAUAUUGGUCAAUGGGCGGAAGCCUGAACCAGCCAAGUAGCGUGCAGGAAGACGGCCCUCCGGGUUGUAAACUGCUUUUAGUUGGGAAUAAAACGGGGCUCGUGAGCCCCCUUGCAUGUACCAUCAGAAAAAGGACCGGCUAAUUCCGUGCCAGCAGCCGCGGUAAUACGGAAGGUUCGGGCGUUAUCCGGAUUUAUUGGGUUUAAAGGGAGCGCAGGCGGACCUUUAAGUCAGCUGUGAAAUACGGCGGCUCAACCGUCGAACUGCAGUUGAUACUGGAGGUCUUGAGUGCACACAGGGAUGCUGGAAUUCAUGGUGUAGCGGUGAAAUGCUCAGAUAUCAUGAAGAACUCCGAUCGCGAAGGCAGGCAUCCGGGGUGCAACUGACGCUGAGGCUCGAAAGUGCGGGUAUCAAACAGGAUUAGAUACCCUGGUAGUCCGCACAGUAAACGAUGAAUACUCGCGGUUUGCGAUACAGUGUAAGCCGCCAAGCGAAAGCGUUAAGUAUUCCACCUGGGGAGUACGCCGGCAACGGUGCAACUCAAAUGAAUUGACGG